rnacentral:rRNA from 1 species
UGGGGAAUAUUGCACAAUGGGGGAAACCCUUAUGCAGCGACGCCGCGUGAGCGAAGAAGGUUUUCGAAUCGUAAAGCUCUGUCCUAUGAGAAGAUAAUGACGGUACCCUGUGAGGAAGCCCCGGCUAACUACGUGCCAGCAGCCGCGGUAAUACGUAGGGGGCUAGCGUUAUCCGGAUUUACUGGGCGUAAAGGGUGCGUAGGUGGUCUUUCAAGUCGGUGGUUAAAGGCUACGGCUCAACCGUAGUUAGCCUCCGAAACUGGAAGACUUGAGUGCAGGAGAGGAAAGUGGAAUUCCCAGUGUAGCGGUGAAAUGCGUAGAUAUUGGGAGGAACACCAGUAGCGAAGGCGGCUUUCUGGACUGCAACUGACACUGAGGCACGAAAGCGUGGGUAGCAAACAGG